UAAACAACCUGCCCUACGGAUGGGGACAACAGCUGGAAACGGCUGCUAAUACCGAAUACGUUCCGAAAGUCGCAUGACUAUCGGAAGAAAGGAUGGCCUCUAUUUAUAAGCUAUCGCCGGAGGAGGGGUUUGCGUCUGAUUAGCUAGUUGGAGGGGUAACGGCCCACCAAGGCGACGAUCAGUAGCCGGUCUGAGAGGAUGAACGGCCACAUUGGAACUGAGACACGGUCCAG
rnacentral:rRNA from 1 species